rnacentral:rRNA from 1 species
UGGGGAAUAUUGGGCAAUGGACGCAAGUCUGACCCAGCGACGCCGCGUGCGGGAUGAAGGCCUUCGGGUUGUAAACCGCUUUCAGCAGGGAAGAAGCGAAAGUGACGGUACCUGCAAAAGAAGCACCGGCUAACUAUGUGCCAGCAGCCGCGGUAAUACAUAGGGUGCAAGCGUUGUCCGGAAUUAUUGGGCGUAAAGGGCGCGUAGGCGGUUUUUUAAGUCAGAUGUGCAAUCCCCGAGCUCAACUUGGGAACUGCAUCUGAGACUGGAAGGCUAGAGUACUGGAGAGGGUGGUGGAAUUCCUCGUGUAGCGGUGAAAUGCGUAGAGAUCGGAAGGAACAUCAGUGGCGAAGGCGGCUACCUGGACAAAUACUGACACUGAGGCACGAGAGCGUGGGGAGCAAACAGG